UCUGCACUUAUUUUUCUGACUUCAGAGCACUACGGAAUGGGAAGUCUAUUAAACAGAAACCAUCUCAUCCUUUCUACACAAUAGGGCCAAUAUUUAAUAAGUCUGCUUUAAGAGAUUACUUUCCAUUUUGUAUCCCAGAGAAAGUAUGACAUCAGAUUUCAUGGUUUUAUCCUGUUCUACUACGUGUUCUCCGGUUGCCUUAGAAACAUAGUUGCUAUGGAUUACACAGUGGGAGUUGUAAGGGUCAACAAAGAUCAGAGCCCUGUCAUUCUUCAUUCAAAGGCAAUUGUCCCUGAAAAAUCUUCCCCAGCUUUUCUCAAAUGGAUUUUCUACUUUCCAAAAGAACUUAAAGAUUACAAGAAACAGCAGCAACCCAAAGAAAUCAGAGAGCCCUAUUUCCUUCCAGGACCAUGACAUGAUAAUAAGGCAUCAGACCAUCUGGAAGGCAUACCUAUUGAACAGGCUCCUGAUUACGUGGCCGAGGUCUUGACACAACAUGGAAGAAGGGAGAACUUGAACCUCAGACAACUUUCUAAGGAAUGCAGACUUCCAUUUUGGUCAUGAACUCUGGCAACGUGUUGAUGGCCGUUUAAGAUGCAUAUAUGUGUGCAUUGCUGAAAGGAAAAAAAAAUCAAGAUGAGAAUGCAAUGUUUUUGGAGCAACUCUCUGUGUAUAAUCGUACAAUGCCCCACCAAGAUGAAUAAUUUACAUCUCAUCCAAAUGACUGAUUUUUGAGCUUGCUAAGGCAAAAGAGGAGGAAGUGAAAUCUUUUCGCAUAAAUCUCUCAAACUAUACACAGUGGGAUAUAUGUCUGUUCUGCCCAGAGAAACAAGCAUGACAAAUUGCUGGAAGAUUUCCCCCCAGCGAUGGGCACCAUAGAGAUCACAUUUCAUCUUUUCCUUUGUUCUAAAACAUUACUUCUGAUCUGUGGAACAGUGUCAGGACUGGAAAGGUUUAGGAAGCAAAUGGUUAAAGAGGCAUUUCUAAAUGAUUCACUGCAUUGCUGUUUGCUGUUCAGUGGUUCAGCUUACAUGACAAACAAUAUCCUAUAGUUAGGCUCAUAGGUAGGAAUCCUUUUCUGAUCAUUGGGGCAUCUUGCUCAGUUCUCGUUGGGCAGCAACUUUUCAGGAGUUUCCCCCUCUGAUCACCUCUGGAAUUCCAACCAGCUGCUAAUGAGCUAUAGCCUAUCCUUGAAGGAAAAGCCUAGAGCUUCCAUCUGUUUUUCACAGUCAGAGGCUCUUUCAUGCUGUACAAUUAUAACACUUUGAUACCUCUUUAAUUCCCAUGGUAUCUUAGGAGUUACAGUUUAAGACAGGGUAUUUAGAAUUUUCAGCCAGAAGGCUCUAAUGCUUUAUCAAACCAUUGCUGAUCAAGUGCUAUCAAAAAGCUGUAAUUGUGCCAUAGUGGGAAAGGGGUCCAGAUCUUAUGCAGCUCUAAUUUUCAAUGCCAAUUGUUACCUCUUGGAACCUGCAACCUGAGGCUUUCUGAAAAUCAGAAACGUGGAAUGAAGAGAGAGAAUUUUUAGUGCAUGAGCCAGCAUCUUUUCCUGCCAGUGUUCCAGGAUAGUUUGUAUCCAGAAGCUGCUGCUUCGAGUUUCCAAAACUGUGCAAAGAUUCAAUAUGUCAGUCAACUCCAGAAUGGUGAGAUCCAGGCUUACUCAGAAUUAAAUGGAACCAAGAUAUGCAUCACUAAGAUUGGAACAGAUGAACAAUUCAGAAUAUAACCGUCAAGCUCUUCGCACACUUGCCAAGAAAAACCAGCAAUUAUGAACGUUAAGUCCAAGAAUGCAUCAUAUCUGCCCCAAUCAAAGCCAUUUAAAUCCAGUCAAGCAUUGCUUUCAUACAUCAAACCCCAACCUACACUUGAUUGCAGCUCUGCAUACCAGGUAUUUAGCCCAGGGAGUUAGCCAAUGACAAUAUGCCAUUGUCUAAGAAUUUUAAUCUCUGCACCCAUAUUUAUAACAUGCCAUAAAUUUGAUUGCAAGAGAUUAGUUAUCAAAAUGCUGGCUGCAUUUACUACUCUGGCUGCACGGUUAACAUGUUGGGGUUUUAAAAGCAAGGUCUGAACCCUGAUAACAUGUCAAAAGUAUGUGUUCAAAGAUGCACACAAAAACAAGGUUUUAUUUUGUUUUAAGCAGCAAUAAAAGUGCUUGGGUGGGUAGGUGGGGGGGGGUAUCUAUAGAUAAUUAAAAUACAGGUAAUACAAACCCAUAUUUGUCUAAUACUAAUAUUUGGUGCAUUUGUUAGGGAAAAGUACUUCUUUAGGAAAUUGGCAGAGUGAAAAUUUGAACAGUUGUUUCCAAAUUCCAGAAUUAAUCACAAGUAAUGUAUUAUCUGCAACAGGCUAACUUCCAAGCUUUGUUCUCAGGCAGGUGUAUAGAGACGCUGGAAGCCAGGCCUAACGUGAUAAGACAACAAAGUAUAGUUGGAAUUAAAAGCAUUAAUAACAGUAUCAUCUAGGAAAAAGAUCUGUGGGAGAAAAAAAAAUGUCCAGGGAAAUCUAGCUCUGAUGUUUACAGAUUAUUACAUGAACCUAUUUUGGCAAGUGUCACCAUAUUCAAGAAAAGUUGUUGUAUUUGCCUAUUAUAGUCUCAACGCACACUCUUUGAAUGGGAAAGGUGGACCACCUUUGCUAUUUCUUCCACACAAACUUCAAAAAUGGAUAGCUCUGCUUGGUUAUUUAUACCCAAUCUAUAGAUCCCACAGUCCUGAGCCAAUUUGUAGCACGGCUAUUUACCUACAACAGAGCUUUCCAAACUAUGUGUCACUACACGUUCAUGUGUCAACUGCAGUAUGUUUUCAUGAGACAUAUUGUGUCACCAUACAUUUAUUUAUUACAAUUUAUGUAUGUGUCAGGAUUUCUUACAAGGUAUUGGUUUAACCUCUGGUUUGCAAGCAAAACUGAAUUACUGUGUCAUUAAAUGAUGCAUGUCUUCAAAGUGUGUCACCAACAUGAAAUGGAAAGCUCUGACCUAAAGGUUGUAUACAAACCCUUGCUUAAAUGUGUUCCUAAUUCAUUCAAUCCACACAUUUUCACCAGUCGGGUCAAUUUAUUUAUGUACAACAUUGCCACCCUGCUAAAUAGUUGACUAAACCCGCAAGUAAAUCUGUGCCUAGAAAGGAAUUUCCUCCUAUAGGUAACAGCAAUGGAAGGGGGCAAAAAAUCCCAUUCAUCCCCAUAAAAGGGCAAAUCAGCACACAUCUAGUGUGCAGGGUGCUGCCAAUGAGGAUGAAGCUGUGCUUAUAUAAGGAUGUGUGGUCUAAGAUGAUAAAAGUCAAGCUCUACCCCAAUGCAGCUGAUAUUGUCAUCUGGUUUGCAAGUCUGGUUCUCUUGCUGGUGUCACAGAGAGUUUUUUUCCCAGUAAGGGAUACAAAUGUAGCCUGGUUUUCAUUGUCAAAGAUCAGGUUCAGUAUUGGCAUUGUCUCUUAAAAGCAAGCAACAUCAAGGGCUACCACUUUUUUUUGGCUGUGAAAACUGAAUUAACUGUCCUGCAGUGAGAUGAAGAGAAAAGUUAUAUUUGUUGACAGUAUACUUGGAAGAAAAUUAAAAGCUCAAAUGGUCCAGCAGGUAAAAAGCUAAUUAGCAUAGCUGAGAGAGACACACACAGAGAAAGAAAACCAAACCCAAACUUUCAGACACUUUAAAAAAUCUGAUUAAUAAAACAAUGUUAAAAAUGUGUAAAGUGAGCAUUUGAGCAAAAAACAACUCAGAUGAGAUAACAAGGGCAUGCUCAGGCUAGUUUUGAUUGGAUAAAAUUAAGUGUUACUUUAAAGCAAAGAAACAUACAGUUUCAAGCCGAAACUGUGAAUUCUUAAUUGGAUUAAAAACUCUGAUCUAUUCAGAGGGAAACAUUCACCUAGACAGAUGUUCAUGAAAACGUCAACAAUAUGUUAGGGGGAAAAUAAUCACAGAUAAGAAGGAAAUAAGAAAGCAGAUAAUGCAACAUGUCAUAUUAUACUUUAAAGAUGUUGCAGCUAUGUCUUUUUUGUGUGUUUUUACUUUAAAAUAAGUAUAGGAGGACAUUGGGAUCAGAGUACUCAUAAUGAGGAGUAGAAAUCUAGGGAGAUUUCACUUUUAAAGUAGAUCUACACCAUAGAAUUAAUGUAGUUUGACACCACUUUAACUGCCAUGACUCAAUAAAAUGGAAUCAUCUGAGGCCCCGUCUACACUGCCAUAUAGGGCCCUUCUAAACGGGUCCUUUAUCCCAGGAUCUGAUCCCAGGUUUUCUGUUUAUCUCAGAUUAUCUGGCAGUGGGGACUCAUGGAUUAAUAUGGCACUGUGAAUCCAGCCUGAAUUGUAGUUUUUCUGUUAACCAAGCAUACAUAAUAUAUUGUUAUAUAUACACUAAGCAGCUUUGAAGACUGGUCGUAUAGUACAGACCUCCCAUACUUAUUCGAUAGAUUAAAGAUCGGGACACUGUCAAAAAAUGAAAAUCUUUGAAAAAUAGAACCCAGCCUUUUUUAAAACUUGCAGAUGCAAGACUGGACAAUAGAUAACACUGGGGCGACAGAAGCUAGAUUUACACUGACACAAAAUAUAAUUCCAAACUGCAUUAUAUGGCAGUGUAGAUUUAGCCAGAGAAAGAAAAAGAAUGCAGCAUCUGGGGUAAAGAGUGGAUCAAGAUUUAAAGUGCAGUGCAUGCUAUAUUUUAGAUCUGUCAAAAGAGUGAAUCAUCAGAAAGUAAAAGUCUUGACAGGCAGGGAGACCUGGGGAACUAUAGUACUAUACGUUUUCAGAAAAGGACCUCAAGAAAACACUGGGAUAGUAUUUAUUUAUCGUGUCAGAAGCGAACCGAGGGUACAAGUUGUAUUUUAAAACACAAAGUUAAAAAAAUGCACAACAACAACAACAACAGCAACAACUUGGCAUUAUACUAAAUGUCCUUUGACCAGUAGCUGGCCACUUGGAAUGCCUCUGGCAUUGCUUUAAGAAGAUCCUCCAUAGUGCAUGUGGCAGGCCUCAGACUGCAUUGUAGUAGGUGGUCUGUGAUUUGCUCUUCUCCAUACUCACAUGUCAUGGAUUCCACUUUGUAGCCCCAUUUUUUAAGGUUGGCUCUGCAUCUCGUGGUGCCACAGCGCAGUCUGUUCAGCACCUUCCAUGUUUCCCAGUCUUCUGUGUG